GAUGAAUGCUAGCAGAACGCCUAACACAUGCAAGUCGAACGGACUUGUUGCUUCGGUAACAAGUUAGUGGCAAACGGGCGAGUAACACGUGCUUAAUUUGCCCCGAAGAGGUGGACAACUACGGAGACGUAGCUAAACCACCAUACGCUCAUGGAAAUGAAAAUACCAUGAGGAAACGAUUUAUCGCUUUGGGAGAAGGGCGCGGCCUAUCAGGUUGUUGGUGAGGUAACGGCUCACCAAGCCUAUGACGGGUAACCGGUCUGAGAGGAUGUCCGGUCGCAAUGGAACUGAGACACGGUCCAUACCCCUACGGGGGGCAGCAGUGGGGAAUCUUGGUCAAUGGGCGAAAGCCUGAACCAGCGAUUCUGCGUGAAGGAUGAAGCCUCGCGGGGUGUAAACUUCUUUUUUGGGGGAAGACGAAUGACGGUACCCCACGAAUAAGGGACGGCUAACUACGUG
rnacentral:rRNA from 1 species